CUUAGACGAUGAAAGUACAAGGAUGCGAUAAUAAAAUAUACUACGGUGUCUUAGUUGUAUCUUAAGAUUUUUCAAUUCAAGGUAUACGUUGAUGUAUUAUGGAAUUGUCGAAUUACUCCAUUAGCUAUGAGGUUAGUUACUGUGAUCAAAGGGAUAUCAAAAUUGCAGUCAGCAUCGAACUCUUUGAAAGGAUAGAACAGUAUUCAACCAGGAACGGAUGAAAGUUUAGGGUUCCCAAAUCUCAUGAUUCAGCUUCCUUGCGAUUCAUUAACCAAAUACGAUUUCUACGUGACUUUCCUGCCACCCCGAAAACCACCCAUUCGAAUGAAUAGCUGUUAUCAUUUGCCAGGACGGUCCCGUGACUUUUGACUAUUAUAAGACCAUCCAAAGUUUGGGAAAGUUGCGACGGGGAACAAUCCUCGGGUCCAAUGUGCCACCAGUCACCGGUCAUACCUGAUAAAUCGAUUGUGUCACCCGGUAGAAUCCACGCAUAGUCACCACCAUGCAUACCGAGUUUCCAGGCCUGUGGAUAAAUGGAGAAUUAUGAUACUAUUCUACCACGGGAGGAGCGAGACCAAAGAGAGAAUAAGAUGAAAAAUCAACGAACCCUCCUGUAAUAAGAGGUCAGGUUCAUUUUAGCAGAGGAAUAUUAAACUUCAUCCCAGUCGGACAGAUUCGACUCAGUUAUUGCGGAGGGCGAAUGGACUUGGACGCCCUUCGAUGCCCUCUGGCGGACGUCGAUGGUCUUUUGUUGGUUCAGUAUUAUUCGAUUGAGACAUUGGAGGAUUUCAAGAGAUAUUCCUAUC